rnacentral:rRNA from 1 species
GACGAACGCUGGCGGCGUGCUUAACACAUGCAAGUCGAACGAAAAGCGACUGAUGCUUUCUUCUUUCAAUCUUAGUGGCGCACGGGUGAGUAACGCGUAAUCAACCUGCCCUUUAGGUGGGGACUACCAUUGGAAACGACUGCUAAUACCGCAUACCAUCUAACCUCUGCAUCGAGGAUAGAUUAAAGGUGGCCUCUACAUGUAUGCUAUCACUGCAGUUGGGGAUUGCGUCUGAUUAGGUCGUUGGAGGGGUAAAGGCCCACCAAGGCGAUGAUCAGUAGGCGGAAUGAGAAGAAGAACAGCCAAAAUGGGAAGGAGAAAAGGCCCAGACUGCUACAGGAAGGAGCAAGGGGGAAACAUGCGCAAUGGACGGAAGUCAGACGGAACAACGCCGCGGGAGGAAUGACAGCCUUCGGGUUGGAAAGGACGGUUUAUCGGGACGAAAGGGCUUCUUGCGAAUAGUGAGAAGGAUUGACGGUACCGGAAUAGAAAGCAACGGCUAACUACGUG